AGCUCCAAUAGCGUAUAUUAAAGUUGUUGCAGUUAAAAAGCUCGUAGUUGGAUUUCUGUUUCUCGCGUUCGGUCCGUUCAUUGAAUGUGUACUCGAAUGUAGGAUUCAUUUUUGUGAGCGCUUUUUCUUGGCAUUAAGUUGUCGGGUUGAAGACUUGCAUCGUUUACUGUGAAAAAAUUAGAGUGUUUAAAGCAGGCGUUCGCCGUUGAAUACAUUAGCAUGGAAUAAUAAGAUACGACUUUGGUCUAUUUUGUUGGUUUGCGUACCAGAGUAAUGAUUAAUAGGGACAGUUGGGGGUAUUCAUAUUUCAGCGUCAGAGGUGAAAUUCUUGGAUCGCUGAAAGAUGAGCUUAGGCGAAAGCAUUUACCAUGGAUGUUUUCA
rnacentral:rRNA from 1 species